CUCAUGCUUGUCUACGACUAUAUGUCUGGAGGGUCUGUCAGUGACAACCUUUACGGUACUUAUAAACCUCAAAUAUUUCUUUCCACAAUAGAGGUUAAAGAUAAACUUCAAAUAUUUCUUUACACAAUAGAAGCUAGAGAUGACGAAAAAAAUGUAGUACUUUCUGUUUGCAGAUCCAGAGGCACCAAAAUAUCCCCAACUAGACUGGAAAACCAGGCUCAAAAUAGCUUUGGAUGCCGCAGAAGGUUAUUUUUGAAAGCAAUUAUUUAUUUCAUUAUCAAAUCAGUAAAUCCUUGAUUCAAGUCAUUGUGUUCAAAAUGCUACAUGUAAAGUUUUCAGUUGAAGUAAUGAUUUUUAAUUUCUUUAAAUAACAAAACUUGCAGGGCUGGAAUAUCUCCAUGUAGGUUGCACUGCAAAAAUAAUUCACAGGGAUGUUAAGACCUCCAACAUUCUUCUAGACAGUGAAUUGAAUGGCAAACUGGCUGACUUCGGCAUUUCAAGAGUGACAGGAAUUGGGGAAACUUCUCAAAUCGAUACAACUAUAAAAGGAACUCCUGGAUAUUUAGAUCCAAUGUAUUAUAGAACUCAUAUCUUGACGGAUAAGAGUGAUGUGUAUAGCUUUGGAGUCGUUUUGUUUGAGCUUAUAUGUGGCCGGAAACCCAUAGAUUUAAAAGUAUCUGCCGGAAAAACAUUGUUGACUGAAUGGGUUGUAUCUUAUGCGGGAGUAGAUAAAGAUGGCGCCAACAGUUAAGAAAUAGUUGACAAAAGGCUGGGCAACCGCUACAAUAUGAAAUCCAUCGUUCAUUUGACCAAUCUAGCCUGGAGAUGUAUUGCAAGCGAGCCUUCCGGUAGACCAAGCAUUAGUGAGGUUGUGGCGGAGAUCAAGGAAGGUGUCACGUUUGAGGAAGGGUAUUAUCGAGUUCCAGAUGAACUCUCACUCACAUUCACUGGCAGUUUUUCAGGUUCUAGGUUUGAAUUAAGGGAUAGUCCAUAAUAGUAUGCUGGGUUCAGUGUGGUUUCGAUAAUUGUAAGUAUAUCUCUUCGAGUUUGAAGCAACGGAAUUUUAAAACCUUAGAGGGUGGAGGAAUCCAACCUCUAUAUACUUAACGUAAAUAUAUUGCUUUGUGAGACGCAGUGAGCAUCCUUUUCUUGUAUUAAUGUCAUCUGAACAUCACCCA